UACGUAGGGUGCAAGCGUUAAUCGGAAUUACUGGGCGUAAAGCGUGCGCAGGCGGCUUUGCAAGACAGAUGUGAAAUCCCCGGGCUCAACCUGGGAACUGCAUUUGUGACUGCAAGGCUAGAGUACGGCAGAGGGGGAUGGAAUUCCGCGUGUAGCGGUGAAAUGCGUAGAUAUGCGGAGGAACACCAAUGGCGAAGGCAAUCCCCUGGGCCUGUACUGACGCUCAUGCACGAAAGCGUGGGGAGCAAACAGG
rnacentral:rRNA from 1 species